rnacentral:lncRNA from 1 species
CUCCAAUGGACUUUUUCUUUAUAACAGCCUUCCCGACAGCCCCUUUUACCUCCAUAAAAGGGCGCGACUCUGCAGUGUUGUCCGUGGUUUUGCUGUAGCGUCGUUUUCCCGUAUUGCAGAUCUUUGCUGUUCCUAAGUUAACCUGUUUUUGCUGGCGAAAUAACUGGCAGUUUUAUUCGAGAGGAGGAAACCCCGAACCGUUUCCCCAGUGAGACGGAUGUGCAUGAUCGUGGUGUCGGGAGAGCGACUGUAGGACCCGAGUGGAGCUCGCUGGAUGCUUCUGCCAGGACAGCCAGAUCUUGACCUACCAGUACGGGAUCCCGACUUCUCUCCAGAACACAGGCCAGCAAUGGGACUUCCCCAAUGCUUGGGCCCCCCUGCAGGACUUGGUCAUCAGAGGUCUGGCCAAGUCUCCUUCACCUCAGGCCCAGGAAGUGGCUUUCCAGCUGGCUCAGAAUUUGAGGUCUACUCCCAAAAGUCAGCCAUGUUUGAGAAGGUGAGCUGCUUCUGAGCCCCGAGCCUCCUGGUGAGCUGGGCGGGUGGGGAUGGGGG